UUUUAUCAUGCAAUGUCUGACGAGUUAACCUUUAUUUUGAAGCGGUGACUGCAAAAGGCGGACACAGUUCUAUUUUAACCAUGCAAGCCGAAGUUGAAUCAAAGUUGCAGAGAGCUCGCAGCUAGCGAUGGAUGGCUAGAUGGAUGCGCAAUCUCCUUCAUUCAGAUGAAAUAAAAAGAUCAUUCGGUGUAGUUGUACUACACGCAGAGUGGUGGGCGAAAAGGAUGUCAGAAACCGAGUGCAAAGUUGCCAAAGAGCUGACACAAGCGAUGGAAGAAACAAUGCAGCGACUACAGGGGAGAUUCCAGGCCAUCGCAGAACAUUUGGAAAUGAGAUGGGGACACGAAUCAGCUGUCUGGAGGAGAACGUGACAGAGCUCAUGACACAAGCUGGCAUGGACGAGCAACCAGUUACCAAAGAGG